AACGGCCGUACCAUGCUGAAUAUACCGGUUCUCGUUAGAUCACCGAAGUUAAGCAUCAUUGGGCGCGGUCAGUACUUGGGUGGGUGACCACCUGGGAACACUU
rnacentral:rRNA from 1 species